UAGUAUAGGACAAAGUGUUCUA
rnacentral:siRNA from 1 species